AGAUUGAACGCUAGCGGGAUGCUUUACACAUGCAAGUCGAACGGCAGCGCGGACUUCGGUCUGGCGGCGAGUGGCGAACGGGUGAGUAAUAUAUCGGAACGUGCCCAGUAGCGGGGGAUAACUACGCGAAAGCGUGGCUAAUACCGCAUACGCCCGUACGGGGGAAAGGGGGGGAUCGCAAGACCUCUCACUAUUGGAGCGGCCGAUAUCAGAUUAGCUUAGUUGGUGAGGUAAAGGCUCACCAAGGCGACGAUCUGUAGCUGGUUUGAGAGGACGACCAGCCACACUGGGACUGAGACACGGCCCAGACUCCGUACGGGAGCAGCA
rnacentral:rRNA from 1 species